rnacentral:rRNA from 1 species
AAUCCAUAGGUUAAUGAGGCGAACCGGGGGAACUGAAACAUCUAAGUACCCCGAGGAAAAGAAAUCAACCGAGAUUCCCCCAGUAGCGGCGAGCGAACGGGGAGGAGCCCAGAGCCUGAAUCAGCAUGUGUGUUAGUGGAAGCGUCUGGAAAGGCGCGCGAUACAGGGUGACAGCCCCGUACACAAAAGCGCAUGUGCUGUGAGCUCGAUGAGUAGGGCGGGACACGUGGUAUCCUGUCUGAAUAUGGGGGGACCAUCCUCCAAGGCUAAAUACUCCUGACUGACCGAUAGUGAACCAGUACCGUGAGGGAAAGGCGAAAAGAACCCCGGCGAGGGGAGUGAAAAAGAACCUGAAACCGUGUACGUACAAGCAGUGGGAGCACAGGUUUACCUGUGUGACUGCGUACCUUUUGUAUAAUGGGUCAGCGACUUAUAUUCUGUAGCAAGGUUAACCGAAUAGGGGAGCCGGAGGGAAACCGAGUCUUAAUUGGGCGUUAAGUUGCAGGGUAUAGACCCGAAACCCGGUGAUCUAGCCAUGGGCAGGUUGAAGGUUGGGUAACACUAACUGGAGGACCGAACCGACUAAUGUUGAAAAAUUAGCGGAUGACCUGUGGCUGGGGGUGAAAGGCCAAUCAAACCGGGAGAUAGCUGGUUCUCCCCGAAAGCUAUUUAGGUAGCGCCUCGUGAAUUCAUCUCCGGGGGUAGAGCACUGUUUCGGCUAGGGGGCCAUCCCGGCUUACCAACCCGAUGCAAACUGCGAAUACCGGAGAAUGUUAUCACGGGAGACACACGGCGGGUGCUAACGUCCGUCGUGAAGAGGGAAACAACCCAGACCGCCAGCUAAGGUCCCAAAGUCAUGGUUAAGUGGGAAACGAUGUGGGAAGGCCCAGACAGCCAGGAUGUUGGCUUAGAAGCAGCCAUCAUUUAAAGAAAGCGUAAUAGCUCACUGGUCGAGUCGGCCUGCGCGGAAGAUGUAACGGGGCUAAACCAUGCACCGAAGCUGCGGCAGCGACACUGUGUGUUGUUGGGUAGGGGAGCGUUCUGUAAGCCUGUGAAGGUGUGUCGUGAGGCAUGCUGGAGGUAUCAGAAGUGCGAAUGCUGACAUAAGUAACGAUAAAGCGGGUGAAAAGCCCGCUCGCCGGAAGACCAAGGGUUCCUGUCCAACGUUAAUCGGGGCAGGGUGAGUCGACCCCUAAGGCGAGGCCGAAAGGCGUAGUCGAUGGGAAACGGGUUAAUAUUCCCGUACUUGGUGUUACUGCGAAGGGGGGACGGAGAAGGCUAUGUUGGCCGGGCGACGGUUGUCCCGGUUUAAGCGUGUAGGUGUGUGUUCCAGGUAAAUCCGGUUCACUUUAACACUGAGGCGUGACGACGAGGCACUACGGUGCUGAAGCAACAAAUGCCCUGCUUCCAGGAAAAGCCUCUAAGCAUCAGGUAACAUCAAAUCGUACCCCAAACCGACACAGGUGGUCAGGUAGAGAAUACCAAGGCGCUUGAGAGAACUCGGGUGAAGGAACUAGGCAAAAUGGUGCCGUAACUUCGGGAGAAGGCACGCUGACACGUAGGUGAAGUGAUUUACUCAUGGAGCUGAAGUCAGUCGAAGAUACCAGCUGGCUGCAACUGUUUAUUAAAAACACAGCACUGUGCAAACACGAAAGUGGACGUAUACGGUGUGACGCCUGCCCGGUGCCGGAAGGUUAAUUGAUGGGGUCAGCGCAAGCGAAGCUCCUGAUCGAAGCCCCGGUAAACGGCGGCCGUAACUAUAACGGUCCUAAGGUAGCGAAAUUCCUUGUCGGGUAAGUUCCGACCUGCACGAAUGGCGUAAUGAUGGCCAGGCUGUCUCCACCCGAGACUCAGUGAAAUUGAACUCGCUGUGAAGAUGCAGUGUACCCGCGGCAAGACGGAAAGACCCCGUGAACCUUUACUAUAGCUUGACACUGAACAUUGAGCCUUGAUGUGUAGGAUAGGUGGGAGGCUUUGAAGUGUGGACGCCAGUCUGCAUGGAGCCGACCUUGAAAUACCACCCUUUAAUGUUUGAUGUUCUAACGUGGACCCGUUACCCGGGUUGCGGACAGUGUCUGGUGGGUAGUUUGACUGGGGCGGUCUCCUCCUAAAGAGUAACGGAGGAGCACGAAGGUUGGCUAAUCCUGGUCGGACAUCAGGAGGUUAGUGCAAUGGCAUAAGCCAGCUUGACUGCGAGCGUGACGGCGCGAGCAGGUGCGAAAGCAGGUCAUAGUGAUCCGGUGGUUCUGAAUGGAAGGGCCAUCGCUCAACGGAUAAAAGGUACUCCGGGGAUAACAGGCUGAUACCGCCCAAGAGUUCAUAUCGACGGCGGUGUUUGGCACCUCGAUGUCGGCUCAUCACAUCCUGGGGCUGAAGUAGGUCCCAAGGGUAUGGCUGUUCGCCAUUUAAAGUGGUACGCGAGCUGGGUUUAGAACGUCGUGAGACAGUUCGGUCCCUAUCUGCCGUGGGCGCUGGAGAACUGAGGGGGGCUGCUCCUAGUACGAGAGGACCGGAGUGGACGCAUCACUGGUGUUCGGGUUGUCAUGCCAAUGGCACUGCCCGGUAGCUAAAUGCGGAAGAGAUAAGUGCUGAAAGCAUCUAAGCACGAAACUUGCCCCGAGAUGAGUUCUCCCUGAGACUUAAAGUCUCCUGAAGGAACGUUGAAGACGACGACGUUGAUAGGCCGGGUGUGUAAGCGCAGC